CCAGAAGAUUCAGGUUUGGUCUCAUAUGCGCCGGAGAGUAACACGUCUAAACAGAUUGGGUUCUAUCAAUGUAAUAAAACUCUUAAAGGUUCCACAUACAGCAAUCAAACUUUAUGUAACGUUGUUACACUUAUAUGUAGCAUCAACUUUGAACUGCCUUGAGAUGCAUUUUUAUAAAUUUAAUCAAUAUAUUUUGGGGUUGGGGGAAAUGAAAUCUUACAAUUCUGAGCCUUUACACAGGUAAAUAAGGUUUUGCUAUAGUCACUGCUUAAUGGUGCAGCUAAAGGUGCUGGCUCGCAGCAUAGACUCCAACCGUGGCUCUAACAGGCUGGGGAAUUGUGCAGAUCUCCAGACGAGGGUUACAGCUGAACAAAUGUGCGCGCAGCACUGAAAAACCAACAGACAUUCGCUAAAGGGAAGCACAGCAAGGCGUCGAGCAAAAACGGCCGACAGCUGCUUUAUUGCACUCGAGCAAUAAAUUCCUCACUCUCACCAUGGAGUAUCCACAGAUCAGAUAAAAGAAAAGAAUUGCAAGGGGCUGGCGUGGGCACUGGUUUCCCUGUAAGAUGCGUGAAGCUGCUGAGAAUGAAACCAGGGCUCCUGUUUAACUUCCUGGAUUGCUCCUCGUCAAUUUCGGUGUGGCCGUCGUUGAAAUAACAGUUUCGUUUCGGUUCCUACUUGGGGAAGUUGCACCGAGCAGCGAGAACCUCGGUGGAAAUCAGUACACUUCAAGGGGACAUCUAAAACAUUGUGUGAGGAAUUAUUCUACAGUCCUCUGAACACAAGAAAACAGACCAAAGGAUGCCCCAAAAAACUCGGACUUUCUUUUAAUCAACCUGAUCAAGCAUCUUAAUGACACACACUCUGAAGCAAGCGGGACUUGAACCUGAACCCGGAUCUCCAGGAUCAGAGGUGAGGACUCCAAAGCAAUCGGAGAGACAACCUCAAAAGCUCUAAAUUGGACUUCAUUAUGCCUGGAGACAUCCAAAUGUUGAAGUUUCUGUCAUCAAGCAAUGUCAGAAAACAAGAGCCAAAUCUGUUUUCAACAGAGCCAGUUACACACUGCAAGGCCACUUCCCUCCAACACUACUUUCAAGUUUAUUAUUUGCAAUAGAAUUCACAAAUCAAAACUUGGCUUAUCGCGCGUGUGUCAAUACAAAUCUUGCCUGAAAAUUUUGUCUCCUUGCUCAGGCCCCCAUCCAUCAAAACAAUAAGAGAAUCCAUCAGUUUCAUUUGGAUAUCCUUUGUUGAUAGGACUGCAAGUGAGCAUUUGGCAAUGGAGGUGAUGUAAUGUUGACAGGAUUUGCAAAGAAACUUUUCAAAGGUAUGCUCACACCCAAAAAAUAAUGUUUCUUUUGUUCCACCACACUAUUAGUUUCUUACUCCAUUUGAUAUUAGAUAAUUAAGCAACCGAUUCCUCAAAUAUUAGUGAUUAGUGCGAGUAACGACUGAAUUGCUCACAAUCCACACAUAUAGUUCUGUAGUUUUCCCUGACCAGUCACUUCAAUAAAGUUUGAUGGUUUAUGCUUGAA